ensembl:lncRNA
GGACAGUGCGUAUACCGCUUUCUUCCAAAGCCCUGACCUCCAGUGCUGGAGAAACAUGAGCUCCUCAAUGAAAUAUUUAAAGACCUUUAUCUGCAGUGCGAUGGUCAAGAGGGCUACAGAAGGCCUACAUGACGUAAUGCCCAGCCCCAGACGGCCGCUGUGAUUGGCUGGAAUCAGAGUUUGCCGUCACGUGACCAGUCCCAGCGCUUCACCGAACUCGCAGGAGAAGCUUGAUACUCUUUUUACAUUCGUUAAUGUCUCCAUUAUUUUCACUUAAAACUAUUUCGGACUGCAGAGCUUAGAGGUAAUGUGUUGGGAUUUGUUAUCGCAAGAAAUGAUGGAUGGCGUACGCAGAAAACGCAAUUAUGGAACGAUAUACAAAAAGUGCUGCAAAAUGAAGGACAAAUUUAAAAGGACUCCAGCUUUGUUAUGAUUCCUCAGUUGAUAUCCAUCACAUUAAUUAUCGCUCCCUGCACUUUUGAACUCUCAUUAGUUAAUGAGUUGCCAGAUACACCCGACAAUCAUUAUACGGGUGCGUCUUGUGUGAAAUGGCAUCCUGAUGCUGACAUGCGAGACGGAAGAUCUUGAGCACGAUGAGCGUCUCUCAUGUCGAGGACUCGGUUACUAAAGCAGCGCAGCUCCGUUAUUAAUGGAUGACCGUCUGAUUAAAAACGCCUCAGACAAAGACACAAAUGGCAGAUGCUCUGACUCACCGUCUCCAUGGCUACUGAUAAUGCCAACUUGGUCAAAAUUAAUGUUGCCGAUGGUAAGGUGAUGACAUGCAGAACGUCAUCUUAUAUUAGUAGCCUAUUAGUUGAAUAUAUCAGUAUUUUUUGAGUUGCUAAAUAACUGCAUCAUUUUAUUAAUCCAAUUAGUAUCGAAUUGCAUAAGCAUUUUUAUACUUAGUUAUCUUCUGAAAUGUUUCUUGCCAUUUAGAGCUGAAGCAAACAAUUUCAGAUCAAUAUUAAUUAUAUUGCAUCCCCAUGCAGUCUAUUAACAGCGUCUCAAUAUAUUUUCAAACCAUCAUUCCCUCUUGUAUGAUAAAAAUUAGCUUUUUGUCAGCUAUGACGAUUCUUCUUCCUGUGUCUUUGCACUUAAGUGUAAGUGAUGCUGUGAAAUAUUCUUCAGAAAUGAAACGGUAAUGCAUGCAUUUAUUUGUUUACAAAUAAGUGACUAAAUUAUGAGUGAUAGAAAUUGCUUCAUAAAACAAUCUUUUGGCUCCAAAUAAUUGUUAAUAUUGUCUUCAGUUAAUCUUUUAUGUCAUUCUGUAUAUUUUAAAUGUGUAUAUGCUCAAAACAAUGAUAUCAUUGUAAUAAGUAUAAUUUAUGGAGCAUGUUGAAUUACAUUUCUGUCUCAUCAGGAUUCAUUUUUUUGUGAUUAUUUGUGAAAGUAGUUAACACCUGCAUAGUAAUAAACAAAUUACAAAAAGUAAUAAAUCA